UUGGGUUAAGUCCCGCAACGAGCGUAACCCUUAUUUUUAGUUGCCAUCAUUUAGUUGGGCACUUUAAAAAGACUGCCGGUGAUAAACCGGAGGAAGGUGAGGACGACGUCAAGUCAGCAUGCCCCUUACGCCCUGGGCUACACACGUACUACAAUGGUCGAGACAAAGAGUCGCAAGUCUGCGAAGGCAAGCUAAUCUCAUAAACUCGAUCUCAGUUCGGAUUGCAGGCUGCAACUCGCCUGCAUGAAGGUGGAAUCGCUAGUAACCGUGGAUCAGCAUGCCACGGUGA
rnacentral:rRNA from 1 species